rnacentral:rRNA from 1 species
UUCGGACUGUAGGCUGCAACUCGCCUACACGAAGUUGGAAUUGCUAGUAAUCGUGGAUCAGCAUGCCACGGUGAAUACGUUCCCGGGUCUUGUACACACCGCCCGUCACACCAUGGGAGCUGGUAACACCCGAAGUCAGUAGUCUAACCGCAAGGAGGACGCUGCCGAAGGUGGGAUUAGCGACUGGGGUGAAGUCGUAACAAGGUACC